GGGCGUGAGGGUCCACGGGGGCAGGCUGGCUGCUGCCGCGGCUGGCGGGGUUGUUAGUGCCGGCCGGCGGCUGAGGCUUGGGGCAGGGCGGGGCUGGCUGCCGUGGCGGCGCAGGGAAAGCGCUGCCGGGGCUGGCUCGGAUCCUCUCCGCCGACGGUGCCUGGCUGCUCCCUGCUGCUCCUCAGGCCGCCGGGGUCCCACCCGCUGCCCGGUGGCACUGAGGGAGCGGACCCUUCGAGGUUUUCGGCAGGUUGUGAGGGCAGAACGCUGUCGUCCACCACCGCCCCCAACCCUGGCAAGGCCGGCUGAGGGCCGGCAGCUGCCUCCGGUGCGGGUGACGGCGCGGGCCGGAGUCGGGCCCGGGGCACAGCGGCCUGCGGGGAGCGAGCAGCAGGAGCGACCGCCGCGUUGCCCUUCAGCGCGUCUGUGUGCCAGCCCCACCACCUGCGCCUUUGUCCGGCCGCCCGACACACGGCACGGCAUAGAAGUGCACUCAGUAAAGCCGACCCCUCUGAAAGCCCCGGUGCUGCUGCCCUCAUCGGCGGUUUCAUCACGAAGGACCUGUGUUCUCCCCUCUAAAGAAACUGUAGGUUUUGCCUAGCACCAUUUAUACUGCACUUGGUAUUGAUUUUUAUUUUCAAAUAGAAGACGAAGCAUCAAGCAAAGCAGGCUGACAUGAACAAAAUGUAGUGUCACCCAGAAAAAGCUGUUAUGGUCCUCUCCUUCCACAUGCACUGCGUAGCAAGUGCAGUGCGCAACAAGCCAGGCCUGUGUCUCCUGUUGUUCACUCAAAUGAUAAUAGUCUGAAAUUCUUCAGUUCACGUGCAAGCGAUUUCAGGCCAUUAUGUUGCAAGCCUGUUGUUGAACUGCCUCUAAUCCUAUUAGUUCAAACCAAAAAGGUAGUAAUUUGCUAAAAGUUCGUGAGAACCAUACAUCCAGUCUAAUCUAGUUUCACCACAGCCAGUGACAGAUUUUGCACAUAAAAAGCUUCAAGAAGUCCAAGAGCAGGCAGAUGUUGAGUAAUUUUCCCUCAGUCUGUGUAGGCAUAAAUCCUGAAGUGUGCUGUUUUAUCCCUACUGCAGUAGAAUCACAGAAUCAUUUAGAUUGGAAAAUAACUUCAAGACUAUCAAGUCGAACCGUUAACACUGCCAAGUCCACCACUAAACCAUGUCCCUAAGAACCUCAUCUAUGCGUCUUUUAAACACUUCCAGGGACUCCACCACUUUCUUGAGCAUCCUGUUCCAAUGCCUGACAACCCUUUCCGUUAAUUUUUUUUUUCCAGAUAUCCAAUCUAAACCUUCCCUGGCACAACAUGAGGCCAUUUCCUCUUGUCCUAUCACUUGCUACUUGGGAGAAGAGACUACUAACACCCUCCGUACUACAACCUUCUCUCAGGUAGUUGUAGACAGUGAUAAGGUCUCAGCCUCCUUUUCUCCAGGCUGAACAGCCCCAGUUCCCUCAGCUGCUCCUCAUCAGACUUGUGCUCCAGACCCCUCACCAGCCUCAUUGCCCUUCUCUAAACUCUCUCCAGCACCGCAAUGUCUUUCCUGUGGUGAGGGGCCCAAAAGUGAACACAGGAUUCAAGGUGGGGCCUCAGCAGUGCCAAGUACAGGGGGAAGAUCACUGCCCUGGUCCUGCUGACCACACCAGUUCUGAUACAAACCAGGAUGCUGUUGGCUUUUUUUGCCACCUGGGCACACUGCUGGCUCAUGUUCAGCCACUGUCAAUCAACACCCCCAGGUCCUUUUCCUCCAGGCAGCUUUCCAGCCACUCUUCCCCGAGCCUGUAGCACUGCCUGGGGUGGUUGUGACCUCAGUGUAGCACCUGGCACUUGGCUUUGUUGAAACUCAUACAGUUGGCCUCAGCCCAGAUCCCUCCGUAGACCCUUCCUACCAUCAAGCAGAUCAGCACCCCCACCUGACUUGGUGUUGUCUGCAAACUUACUGAGGGCACACUCGACCCUCUCAUAUAGAUCAUUGAUAAAGAGAUUAAACAGAACUGGCCCCAAUACUGAGCCCUGGGCAACACCACUCGUGACCAGCUGCCAGCUGGAUUUGACUUCAUUCACUACAACUCUCUGGGCCCAUCCAUCUGGCCUGUUUUUUAUCCAUCCAGGCCAUGAGCUGCUAGUUUCUGCACAUGGAUGCUGUGGGAAACAGUGUCAAAGGCCUUAAUGGAGGCUGGGUACACAACAUCCACAGCCUUUCCCUCAUCCAUGAAGUGGGUUACCUUGUCAUAGAAGGAGGUUGGGUUGGUCAAACAGGACUUGCCUAUCAUAAACCCAUGCUGACUAGGCCUGAUCACCUGGUUGUCCUGUAUGUGCAAUGUGACAGCACUUGGGAUGAUCUCCUUCAUAACCCUCCCCAGCACCAAGGUCAGACUGACAGGCCUGUAGUUCCCCAGAUGAUUCUUCUGGCCCUUCUUGUAGAUGGGUGUCACAUUUGCCAACUUCCAGUAAACUGGGGCUUCCUUGGUUAGCCAGGACUUCUGAUAAAUGUUGGAAAGUGCCUUGUUGUACACUUACACCAGCUCCCUAGGCACCCUUGGAUGGAUCCUGUCUGGCUCCACAGACGUAUGGGUGUGCAAAUGGUGUAGCAGGCCAUGGGGGCUUAAUUUUUCUACAUGUCCCAUUCUCUCGGCUAAGGGGGCUGGGUACCCAGAACACAACUCGUCAUUAAAGACUGAGGCAAAGAAGGCAGUAAGUAACUCAGCCUUUUCGAUACCCUUUGUCGUUGUGUUUCUCCCUGCAUCCAAUAACGAUGGAAGUUCUCCGUAGCCUUCCUCUUGUUGCUGAUGUAUUUACAGAAGCAGGGUUUUUUCUCUUUUAGAGCAGUAGCCAGGCUCAGCUUUAGUCAGGCUUUGGUCCCUCUUAUUUUCUCCCUCAAUAACCUUCUGAUGUUCUUUAAGUCCUCCUGAGUUCCCCGCUUCUUCUUCCAAAGGUCAUAAACACUCUUUUUUUCUUGAGUUCCAGCUGAAGCUCUCUAUUCAGCCAGGCCAGUCUUCUUCCCUGCCCGCUUAUCUUUUGGCACAUGGGAACAGACUGCUCCUACGCCUUAAAGGCUUCCUUCUUGAAGAAUGUCCAGUCUUCCUGCGCUCCUUUGCCCUUCCUCCCAAGGGACUCGGUCAACCCAGCCUCUAAACAGGCCAAAUACUGCCAUCCAGAAGUCCAAGGUAGCAGUUCUACUAAGGCCCCUCCUGACUACUUCAAGAAUAGAAAACUCUACCAGUUUAAUGAUGGCUGUGCCCAAGAUGGCCUCCAACCGUCACAUCACUCACAAGUCCUUCACAGGUCUAUGGGUUACCUCCCCUCAUUGGCUCCAUCACCAACUGUAUCAGGAAGUUCUUUUCCACACACUCCAGAAACUUCUUGGCCUUUUCCUCUCCACUAUGUUGUAUUUCCAACAGACCUCUGGUUAGCUGAAGUCCCCCACAAGAACAAGGGCUAGUGAUUGUGACACUUCUCCCAGCUGCCUGUAGAAUAUUUAAUCUGCCUCUGUAUCCUGGCUGGGUGGUCUAUAACAGACGGACACCAUGAUAUCUGCCUUGUUGGCCUUUCCGCUGAUUCUUACCAACAAACACUCAACCCUUUUCUCAUCGUUAAGCUCCAGACAGUCAAAACACUCCAUGUGAUAUAUUGUAUAGAAUUCCUUUGGGAUUAUUAGAUGUUCCUGACUACAGCUGCUGGAGAAGGAUUGAAUAUUCUGAGGAAGCAUCACAUUGGCUUGUCCUCAGCUUCAGCAUCCAUUGCUGAACACUGCUGGAGACAGGAUGCUGUGGCCCAAUCCAGCAUCACCAUUCUCACAUCCUCCUGUUAAUACCGUAUUCAUUUUCCUUGCAGAACUCCUUCAAAUAAUAAAAUCUUUAAUACACUGUGACAGCCAAGCGGGUGCAAAACAUCAUUUGAAACUGUAAACUAAAAGUAAAAAAAAAUUCAAAAUAGUUUGUUUGGAAAUGAAAAACACACAUAUUUCACCCAUGAAAAUGUAAAUUAACCAACAGUUAGCUUCUCCAUAAGUAGUUUUUCAUCAUAUCCUUGUGAAAUUAAUUUUGGACUGAGAUAAAAGUAAAAAGCAGAGAAGUUAGCUGUGCUAUAGUCUUAGCUAGGUCACAAGAUAAAUUCCUUAUUUCUUCAAGCUUCUACGAGGUUCUUUUAUACACAAAGUAACUAUGAACUCUAGACCAAAGACAUUAGAAACUAAUUUUGAGUCUAACAUUUUUGUGAAUGCUCGGUUAUAACAAACAAAACCAAAUGUUUGCAAUUAGUGUUCAGUUAAAGCCCUGAAAAUGCCUGCAUGUGUCCUGCUGUCAUUGGCAGCACUGGCACUCUCCCUUGUAGAUCUGUUCCUUUCUCCAAGGAUAGCACAGAUUUUGUUAAUGUCAGCAUGAUGCACUCACAUGACUCCUACUUAUCCAAAUAUAAUCUCAGAUAAUUCCUUACUUAAUAUGAAUAAAGCAAGCACAAUACAGUCAUUUUACAUUUUCAGGUAUAUUAAUCACUUGACCAAAAGGCACCUAUCCAGUGCUCAAAGCACUCUCCAUUUAUUAAAUUUUUAGGAGAUGAUAUCAUUCAUAUGAUAUCUGUCACCUUGCUCCCCACCUUCAUGAACAAAUACAGUCUAUAAUGGCACCCUGCAGCUGUGACAUUUCUGUUCUUCACAUCUAAACAACAAAAGAAUGAACACGAGAUUUUUGUAACAGCCGACAUCUAGUUUCAAUGAAUAAAUACUUUACAAAGCACCUUUCUUAGUGCUUUUGUCAUUGUCCUUUACUGAUUUCCCAUAACGCAGUUCACACUCUGCUCCGUUUGGCCUAGUGCAGUGGCACAUUUUAUUGAUUUUUAACCCCUUCCCACAUUUCUUUUCUCAGAUCUCUUCCAGUGAUGCAUUUGAGAGGGGUCUGUGUGUCAGAAUUUUUGGCCUGCCUGCUUGCAGUUGUGUGGCAGAACAGCCAAACAGCUGGGAGCUCAGUGAGUGCACCUCAGUAAAGAAUCUGGCUCCAUCCUCAAAGGUUUCGGAAGACUGCUACAAGAUCACCUUGAAGCUGUUUCUCCAGGCUGAACAAGCUCAGAUCCUUCAGCCCCUCCUCACAGGGCAAGUGCUCCAGGGCCCUGAUCACCUCCAUGGUUUUGUGCUGAACUUGCUCCAGUGCAUCUGUAACUUCCUCCAGCACAUCCUCUGGACACGCAGGGCAGGAGAGCAGGACUGCUUUAAAAGCAGAUUGCCAGUGCACCCUGUAUGACCUCUAGUCCUUCCAGGGUUAGGGCUCUUCACUAUACAUUUUCCUACUCUCUGCGGAUGUGCAUAUUCCCACUACUAGACCUUUAACUUUAUAUUUUGCCAUUUUAAAACAUUCUUUCAUGAAAUAGUUCCUGAGUUACAAAGCCAUCUAGACAAAACCCUCCAAAAUCAUUGUUCCAUCCAUACACUGUUGAUGUAAAUGUAUAACAGCUGCAGGCUUCCAAUCUCUGGAAAACCCCACACAUGUUCACUGGUCAUUCCCUAUAGACUGCUACUUUUUGAGCAACACCAGCCAAUUUUUAAUUCAGUAUACAUAUGCUCUAUUUAUAUUGUACAGUACAACAUUUUAAUCAAGACACAAUACAGUACUAAAUCAAAAGUCUUGCAAAAUUUUAUUUGAAAAUAUACAAGGGCCAUACCAUUAAUUUAAACAGAGAUGUACUAUUAACUUUUACUCCAGAGCCUAAUUUUAUGAUUGAAGUCUAAAUAUUUGGACCUUUAUUUUAAAUCACUCAUGAUAAUUUGCAAGACAACAAUGCUUACUUUCAUCUAUCAUUUCAGAGUGCAUCCUGAGUAACUAUCCAGCAAAGCAUAUAAUACAGUAGAAGAUCUAGGAAAACACUCACAUUUCUGGGUUUCAAACAGGAAUAAAUAAAAGAAUUGUUAACAAAAAUUGUGAGGGGUGUUACUGCAUGGAGUUACUAAAGGAAAUCACAUUCCAGUUCUGGGAUUACUUAAGUAAGGCAUCUAAAUUAAGAGCAUUAUUACUCCUCCAUUAUACCUCAGGGAAGGUGAUUUAUUCCUGUGAUCUGAAUGGCCUCUGAAUGGGCACUCCCCCUACACUGACUGUGAAAGGAGCCUAGGGUCUCAAGGUCUUCCUUCAGACACCUCGUUUAGGUUUCCAAAGUGAGAGAGUUGAAGUCACAUCUAUGAAAAGAUAUAAAGCUUAGUUUAAAGCAAUUCAGUAGACAUAGCCUGCAAAGUGGGGGAAGGGAAACUUUGUUAUCUUUCUCUGUACUCUCUCCUCCUCCAGCAAACCAUCCGUGAGAAUCUCCUGUGAGCAUCACCCCUUGGAGCCAAAUGACAGAUAUUGAAAGCAGGGCAUGUGCAGCAUGUGUUAUUCUUGUGCAUAACAAUAACAGAGAUAAAGAAAAUUCCACUGCUUCUAAGAGCCAACAUUACUGUGCUGCUAACUGCUUUUCUAGCUAGGGCUUUUGAGUUUCAUAUUUUGAAAAGAGUUCCUGUGGCAAUUUCAUAUUUACCACCUCCCAGCUGUUCACCCAUCAGAGUUUACUGUCCUGCAAUAGAAGGAAAUUUGUACUUGCAUGGCAGUCAAUAGGCUAGUGGGUGUUGGUUUCAGUGGCCGGAGAGAGUGUGUUUACUGCCAGACUCCGAAUUUUUACAAGUGCAAACACAAGUGUAGGGUCAGUAACUCUACUGGGAGCAGUGCAUUCUUAAGGUGUAACAUAAAGACUAACCAAAGCCCCACUGUGGUAGCUCUCACUCAAAAAAUAAGUAAAGGUGGCACUGUAUGUAUAGUCAUUUAAAGAGAGAGGUUUGAAAAAGGUCAGAUGACUCAUGCCCUAGAGAUGUAAAUUUGCCUGCAGAGACUAUAAAGGAAACCAAGUGUCAUUGUCCCGGAUGUUGAUGUCCUCCAGCUGCAGGCAGGUUGAAUGGAUCCCAUCCUCAACAUGAAAAUUUCACUGUGUAAAGCACGUUUCAAAAGCAGUUUAGGAAACUCAUCAUCAAGUGAUAUUACCAGGGCUUUUUAAUGAAAAUCAAGCCAAAGUCUUUUGUUUCCAAACUUCAUUGUAAAUGAAGCUUCAUUGUAAUGUAACAAAGAACAACCAGCUCACUAGGCAAAGUAUUUUAGUUCGGAUACAAAAAGAAUGUGUGCAUCAAGUUUCUUUAAAAAUAAUUCUGAAACUAACAGGUUGCUUUCUCUGUAAAGAUUGUCCUCUUUGGCUGGUAUUUAAUAAAUUAUGCAAAUCCUGAGAAUCUUUACAAUCUUGAAUAGUUUACACUUAGAGAACUGACCCUCCGAAGUCUCUAGAACAUUUUGCUAUAGAUUAUGCAUAAAUACAAUAAAAGCCAAGAGUUUUAAGUAUUUGUAGAAUCAGAACUGCUUUUCAUAUGCAUUAAAAUUCUUACAAUCAUUUUUCUUAUCAAAUGAGGUAGAUUACAACAGAGAAACCUUAUUCUAAGAUUUUAUUUCUUUUGUUAGUAAUUUAUCCCUGGAAUAUCUUUGUGUGCAACAGUAAGGUAUAACGAUUUAUUUCUUGGUAUUCUUCAUCUACUACCUCAUCCAAUUAAUUUCUGUUAUAUUAUGUUAACAGCAUCAUGACAUUACAAAGUAUAAAAUCAGAUCGUGGACACUGUGCUGCAGUGUUGCUAUUAAAAUACUGUACGUUCAGCUCUAGGUCACAUAGCAGAAUUAGCUCCAUUCAAUGCCCUGGCAACUUUCCAGUGUUUCUGUAAUAGAUAUUCUAGUACAUUGUUAACAUUACUUAAUGCUAUGUAUAACAGACUUGGAUUUAAUUAACCUGCCUCCAGUAAUUGUUGAAAGAAAACUGAAGGAUAAAUGAAGGAAAAAACUCCUGUUGUGCUAAGUGGGACAGGAUGAGAGCAGGGGCUGUCUUGUUUGCUCUUCCAGAGAAGAACUUGAAGCAGUCCUCUGUCUUCUCCAUCGCCUGACCUCAAGACAGGUUAACAGCCACCUCAAAGGCUUCUGUAGGAGCUAGUCCAGAGUUGGAACUAGAAGAAUAAAAAGCAAUCAGGAAGAAACAUCUGGGAAACCAAGAGAAAACUGAUUAGAAGACAAAUUAAAUGAAUAUUUAAUAAAUCUAGUAAUGAACAGAAGUCUUUGAAACUGAUUAUAAAAUACUGUGCUUUUAGUUAGUAAUAUCUGGUUUGUGCCUUGCUGUUAACAAGUAUUCUGUUCUCUGUUGGUAUCUGAGUCUGCUUAAUACACUCCUCUUUCACUGAGUUUUCAUUCUCUUCUCUGUUUGUGUUACACUCUCUUUCCUCCUGGAAUAGGAAAUGAGCUCAUUACCAUCAGACCUCUAAUCAAAUACAGAUGCACAAUGAGCUACAAGACCCACAGUGUUUGUGUCCUAGAAGAUCCCUGGAACACUUAAGCUGUUAAUCACCACUUCUCAGUUCCCACACCCUAUCAAGAUUCAAGAAGACAUUUCCAAAGCUGAGUGAAGUGAAUAGAAGUUCUACUAGCUGAUCGAUGACAGUGGUUAAAGCUUCCUCAGGUAUUUUUGCACACUUCGCACAACUGGGAGAUGCCUUCUUAAAGCCUCAGAAAAUCAGAGAGCCAAGGAGGAUAAUACACAAAGCGAGGGCUGGAAGCAAAAGCUGCUGUUCAAGGUUAGAGAGAAUACGAAUUCUGGAAGCCUGAAGUGAGUCACUGGGACUGACGGCAAAUGUGGGGAUUGAGAGUUUGUUUGGGAUUUUGUGUAACAUAUCAGAAAGUGAAAAGAAAAUCAGGGAGAAAGAGAGAAGCAUUUAUAUUCUUUUGAGAGGAAAUGAAGCAGAACAAGUUCAACAUGGAAAGGCAAGUAGUUUUGUCUCUUCUCAUCCCAGAUGUUUUAUCCAUUUCCUUUUUGGUUAAACUGAGAUAAUAAUAAGAAUAGUGGAUAUUGUCAGAUUUCACUAUUGUCCAGCAUAGUUUAAUUCAUUAAGAGUCAUUGCAGAGUUCCUCAGUAUGGCUGGAGAUAAGUUGCCAGAGAAAUGCAAAUAAUAAAAAACACGGUUACUGAGAAUAAAUAAAAAGAGAGCAUUGUAAAACAUGUAACUGUGGUUCCCACCCCCUCCCUUCCUGCCCCUUUGCUUCCCUGUAACUGGACUUAACUUCGUUGAAAACAAUGAUGGAGUUCAUUUACUUGUGUAAAACUAGUGAGAAACGAGAACUGGCCAGUGUUAUACCCUAUUGUGCAACUACGUUUAAGCAGUUCAGCCAGUCAAUUGACUAUUCAACCAAACGGGAAAAGGUCCUGAGUCAAAAGAAUACCUACCUCUCUGUAUAAUAGAGAGCCAGGUGUUCCUGCAGGAAGCUCAGCUCAGGUAACAGCAGCUAAUCCUGAAACUGAACAAAUAAAAAACUUAAAACUGAGCAAAAAUGUUAAUUCCAGGAUGGACUAACAGCACUCUCUGCCACAAGACGUAUUUUUAGCAAUAUAGUAAUAAGAGUGUAGAAGAUACUAUAUACAGGAAUAAUACAUUAUAUAAACUGAUAAAUAAAUAAGGGAUACAUUCUAUGACCCAAGCAUAAAUCACAUGUGCAUUUACAAGAGGCAGGAACAAAUUCCGCAUUGAGGUAUUAUGGAGUAGCACCUUCCUCUUAUACUUUCAUGGACAGAGUAACAAACCAUUUAUCUCAUAUAUGUCUAAAAAUAACAGCCUUAAAACAGGAUCUGGUUUCUAUAAAGUCCUAGAUUUAGACUUGUGUGAAGCAUUUUAUGAAAUAUUGGACUUCUUUUAAUUUGGGAAGCUGUGUAACUUCCCUACAGGAUGUCAAGAAUAGUAACAUGCUAGUAAAAAAAUGUCUUUCCUCAUAAAGAAACUAUUUCUGCUUCCAAUCAAAACAUGGAUCCUCUGAUACUAUGAUUUUGUAACUAUUUAUUUCCUGACUUCAUUUACAAGGUGAAUUCCACUAAAGACCUGAGCAUACCCUGAUAAUAAUUAAGUAGAAGGGUAAAACAACAAGGUGGAUUGGGAAGAGGUGAGGGAGACAAAACAACUGAUGAAACCAUCUGCACAAACAUUCAUCCUCAAAAGUGAUUCACCCGUAGGGAAAGGAACAACAAGAGGGUGCUGAAAUAAAGAAAGGAUUUGGAGAAAAACAAUUCAAGACAUGACGAAUGAAAACUACAGGUUUACAAGCAAAGGAGACAGGUCAAGGGCAGGGAUUGAAAUCCAACUACUAAGCACCGCUGCUUCAGUCUACUUUCAAUCCAAUGGAGAACAAAGUCACAUAAUGUAAAAGCCCUGAAUUUGUACUCCAUCAAGUGGCAAGAGUUCCAGAGAAAUAAAUAGGAUUUAGGAUUCCCAAAGGUUUAUCACGCAUAACUUUUUGAAAAUAAUACUUGCAGAGCCCCAGUAAGAACACAAGCAGGUACUUUCUGCAUCUCCCUGGUUGAAAUAAGUUGUACCCUUUCACUACGUCUCUUUAGGUGUGCAUCCCACUGCUCUUUUGUGGCUAACAGCUUCAGUUCCUCGAUGAGAGCAGAAUAUGAACUUGUCCUUGCCUGGUUCAUCCUCUGUACUUUUUCACCUCUCCUCUGAGGCAGAAGUGCAUCUGUACUCAGAACCCAAACGCUUACUUCUUCAAAGGAAGUAAGCUGGACUAAUCAAUGUCACAUCUGGACACAACAUUGCAAACACAAAGAAAGAGCUCGAUCUAGGAGUGUGCACCUGCUGUAAAUAUGUGCUCUCUGUUCACAGCUACAUUAUGGAAAAGUCACAACUGUUAGUCUAGAAGACCGUACAGAACAAAUACCACAUGUUAUGCAGCAGUGAGUUGUACAAGGGUGAGCCUGUAUAUAUAUUUAUCAGCAGAAGACUAAAGUAAGCAGUGUAACAAAUGGUAAGAAAAACAGGGAUUUGGUAUCUCACACUCUGUCAUAGUAUUAGUUGAAAGCUGGCCAGCACCUCAAGGCAAAGGAAAUGCUAACCAAAGACAUCAUAAGCAAAGUCACAGCUAUUGAAGCAGAGAUAGCUCUGUGAUGGAAAGUACUAUGGCUUCUAAUACUUUCAGACAUGGAAUCAUCUAAGCCACCUUAUUAAAAGACUAAAUUAUAUUAACUUUCCAGUUUUCUGUUAAACACUUGUAUUCCAAGGUAUCCUUUUAUCCUUUGUACCGUUCUUCAUACCACAUUUAAAUGAAUGCUUUCACAGCUAUAGGAGAAUCUCCUAUUUUUUUUUUUUCCUUUCACCAUCUCUGCUGACUUCCUUUCCAACAUCAUAGUUUGUGGUUAGGAUUUCUUAAAUAGAAAAAAAUAAACUGUUGUUACUGUGCUAUGAAUCUUCAUUAACCUCUGAGAGUCAGUGCAACAUUCAUAGUCUUCAAGAGUAACAGCCAAUCCCUGGCUUUGUGAACCUGUUCUGAGUGUCCACAUGGAAUGUCAUGGUGCCUUGCCAGUAUAUUACAGUGAGAUGGCAACAACAGCAAAGAUCUGUGCUAUGGCUAAGCUGUUUUAAUUACAUUAAUUUGCUUGUUUAGAAUUUUCUUUAGUGUCUUUAGAGUACGGUAGUUCACGCAGAUAAACCUGUAUCUGUAUUUCCUUUCAUAGCUGUAUUUCCUUUCCAAUCAAUGUUAAUGAUCUGAAACAUUUCCAUAGCAAGAGAAGCAUUUCUUUUCAAAUGCAUUCUCAUCCAAAAUUACUUUCUUCAUCCAUGCUGUAAUCUCAUCAACUGUUAUCUUCUUCCCAUUGAAAGGGGAUUGCCUAUAAAUACAAAUGAUACUGUGUUUGCCCUAACACAGACACCUGGACAGUCAAGAGCAUGAGAAAAAGCAAAAAGAAUUAGCAGCUUCCCAGACAGACAAUAAACUACCACAGCCUGCACCUUCCUUCCAAUUGGUGUGAGCCAGGGAAGUCCAACUAGUAUUGCUGGCUCCCACUGCCUAAAAGAAAAAAAAAGGGAGUGACUGUUUAAAUAUUCCGAGAUUUUAAAAAGUAUUUUCAGUAUCUUCUCCCCUUAACAUUUGAUUUUUAGCUUUAAAGACGGUUGCAUGCCUCUGUAGGUCAAAAGUGAAAGGAGAAGAGUAAAUCUGGAAAGGUGGCCUUGACUCGUGGUGUGAUGGAAGUGUAUCGCAGCCUCCCAGAAGGGCACAGAGCCUUUUCAGGAGAACGUGCAGCACUGCACAGCAACACAGUGGUUUUCACAGGAAACAAGACAUUCUGCCACACAACUGAGCCAGAGCAGAGUUUCAUCAGAAGAAAUGGAUGUGUAAACUACAUUGAAUCUUCAGUUGGAAGUUUUGUCUGGCUUUGCUGUUUACUGAAUUAAUUUAUUUUAAUUCAAGUUAAGGAGCUUUGAUAAGCAAAGGAAAAAUAUUUAUUCAGUUUUAUUCUGUAUUUUAUAAUCUCUGUUUGCCUUGUUGCUGAAAGGCCAGGAAAGAUUUAAUUGAAUCUUGCGUAGCAUUGUUCAUUUUGUUUUAUUGAUUUAGUUAUUGUGUUAUUCAUAUGAAUGCUUUUAAGGGUAGCCAGGAGAGCUCCUGGUUGUCUUAAAGUAACUUAUUAGCUCUCUAGUAAAAUGUUAAAAGAAUCAAUUUCAUUCGUAUUGCAGUUUUAACAGGAAACUUACUGUUGGUGGACAAUAAAUGUUUUGUGUUUGUAAA